UCUCCCUCAACUCUUCCUCCAUGCUUCCUAUUCUUUCUUCUAUAUCAGAGUUAAACAAACCCAAUCGUUUCUUCGACUGUGUACAUCAAAAUUAAACAAACCCGGUUGUUAAAUUUCUCUAUGCAGGGAAGAAGUCCUGCAAAUGGAGACUGCUGACUGAGCGUCGGACGAGUCUGAUGGUAUACUCUUGGGGUCAAAGUAAUUAUAGUUGCAUGGAAAUCAAUUUUUGGUUCUUCUCUAGCUACUGAUAGUCCCGUUCAAGGCUUAUCGGGAUUAGGCUGGAUCCAUAAAGCAUUUGUCAAGGAUCAUCCCGUGGUAUUAGAAUGGUUAAAAUGCAUUUUACAGAGUAAGCCUACAUGCGUGGUAAUCUCAGGCGGCAGAUGAUCAGAAGCCUGAGGUGGUUGAGCAUUCCCAUAAAAGUGGCCGAUCUUUAUAUUUUCAUUGUAAAAUGAGAAGUGAAGACGACAUUUAUUCCCCUUAAUAUCCUCAAUUCAAGGUUAAAGCGAAAAGAGAUUACUUAUUAGAAUCUCCAAAAGUUCUGGAGAAACAGGUUAAUCUUGCUUUCAGGGUGUAUUCACACCUAAAAUUGUUCCAGUUCUAGUAUUAUAUGUUAGUCAUGUGUUUUUGUCUUGUUUCAGUA